UACAGAGGUCUCAAGCGUUGUUCGGAUUCAUUGGGCGUAAAGGGUGCGUAGGCGGCGCGGUAAGUCGGGUGUGAAAUCUCGGGGCUUAACUCCGAAACUGCAUUCGAUACUGCCGUGCUUGAGGACUGGAGAGGAGACUGGAAUUUACGGUGUAGCGGUGAAAUGCGUAGAUAUCGUAAGGAAGACCAGUGGCGAAGGCGGGUCUCUGGACAGUUCCUGACGCUGAGGCACGAAGGCCAGGGGGGAGCAAAACGGG
rnacentral:rRNA from 1 species